rnacentral:lncRNA from 1 species
AACAAAUGAUUUUGAUUUGAACAAUUGGUUUCUCAGCUAGUGUAUCUGCAAAAUUAAACAUGGUCUAACAACGAUAUUCGACGUUAUGGUAACUUUCAACACAAAACUGGCAUAUCACUUUAUUUGGCUAAAUGCAGUGGGAAUGUGUCAAAACAACAAUGAAGAAGAUCAUAAUGCUUCUGUUAGCACAUAUAUGUCAAAGAGAUGUUAAUCAGCAGUUAACUACUUAACCCAUCAACUUCUGUCGGUAAAAAACAAAAACAAAUCAAAGAGAUUACAAGACCGCUUUGGUGAUAGUGGUUGUGACGUAUGAAUCUGUGAGGUGGAGGUGGUGAUGGUGUCAACCGUCAGUGGAAGAUGUAGUGAUACCAGAUGUUACCACCAAACUUUUCGAUAAGUUGGAUUUGAGAGGAUAGAUCAUUAUAAGUUAUAACACAAAUUCCUGUCAACCAUAAAAAAAAAAUAAAAAUAAAAAAUAAAAAUAAAUAAUUAUGUUUUAAAUUUCAAAAGACAACAUAAAUUUAAUCAAUAUCAUUAAAGUUUUCAAAGAAAACUCACCCUUCUUAGUUCUUACUCCAAAGCUACACUCUUGGAACAUUAUACAAAUUAAAAGGAUGGAGGAAGAAAAAGAUCAAAAAUGAAAGAAGAAAGAUAGAGCAGAAGUAAACUGCAACCAAUCUACACCAUAUAUAAUCUCCAACCUGCUUUCAUUGACUCUUUCUUUUCAAGCUUCAUGCAUGAGUUUUUGUUAUGCUC